rnacentral:rRNA from 1 species
UGAGGAAUAUUGGUCAAUGGCCGGAAGGCUGAACCAGCCAAGUCGCGUGAGGGAAUAAGGCCCUAUGGGUCGUAAACCUCUUUUGUCCGGGAGCAAAGCUUUCCACGUGUGGGAAGAAGGAGAGUACCGGAAGAAAAAGCAUCGGCUAACUCCGUGCCAGCAGCCGCGGUAAUACGGAGGAUGCGAGCGUUAUCCGGAUUUAUUGGGUUUAAAGGGUGCGUAGGCGGACAGAUAAGUCAGCGGUAAAAUUGCGGAGCUCAACUCCGUAGAGCCGUUGAAACUGUCUGACUAGAGUGAGCGAGAAGUAUGCGGAAUGCGUGGUGUAGCGGUGAAAUGCAUAGAUAUCACGCAGAACUCCGAUUGCGAAGGCAGCAUACCGGCGCUCAACUGACGCUGAGGCACGAAAGUGCGGGGAUCAAACAGG